rnacentral:lncRNA from 1 species
AUAAUAAUAAGCAAGAGUGGCAUGGUGGCAGGCUAUUGCACUUCUGCAUCAUCGCAUCAUCGUGAAAUGUGUCGUUGAUUUAAUUUGUGCCUUUGCACUUGUUUUUCAGGUUCUAUCCAGAACGGGCCUCCCGCACUGACGGAGCAACAUUCAAACGGUGAAAACAAAGCUGAAAUUUCUUCCGUGAAUGUCGCGGCAUCUUCGGUUUGCCUGCAGUCUUUGGAAAGUCUCGCUGCUCGGGAUACAGAAGGGAAGGGGACAAACUCCUCACCUGAAACUGUGGACGAGAUGGAAAAGGAGAUCGAGAAGGAUGAAGAUGAGGAUGGAGAAAAGAAAGAGUUGAAUGAGAAGAAAAGGUGUUUGCAUGACGUCGCCCAAAGUUGCACCAAGGUUUUGCAGCCGAAAUUCGAACACCGGCAAAAUCUUGCACCAAGAGGAGAGAGAGACGCGGGAUCUUGUGACUCGUCCAAACAGCAUGGUGCAAGGUCAACUGCAGCAACAUCAAGUCACAGCUGCACAGACCAAGAUCAGGCCAGGGUGAGCAGGAUUCCUGCCUGUGUGAAGAAGGUACAACAGGCCAUAGCUUUGACUGUGAAUCAGAAAAGUGACCAAAAGUACAUUGGUGGCACAGCUCAAACACCUGUUCUGCCUUUGCUGCCACAGACUAGCGUGAGGACUUCCUCAAGCCAACAGGCAUCUCCUUACGCUCCAAUUGCUUACAUUGUUCCGAGUUAUCCAGCUUCACAUCGUGGCCUUCCAUAUGUCCAGACUUUGCAAGCGCCUAUCUCCCCUGAUCCAUUCUACCUUUACAGACCACAGGUUGAUUACUAUUCUGGACAUUCACUGCCACAGCCCAUUGUCCCUGUGCAAACCCAGGUGGCCAAAGCAAAAUCAAAAUCGGAUCCUGAAACACUAUCAACACCAAAGGCAGUCAGGCCGUGUGAUGGGGUCUUUGAUCGAAAAAUCAAAGACCGCCAUAGGACUAAGCAUUUAUUCACAGAGGAGGGAUCCGUUUCGAAUCAAGAGCUUGCCGGUAGUAGGAAGAAUGGACCAAGGAGUCCUGGAAGUCCCAAGAUAAUUCUGGACCUAGAUCGGCAUGCAGCUGCAGCCAAAAGGCCACAAUUACCUGCUCCGCUCAUUACGGGAUUCCCUUACAGGUCUCUCUUUCAGUGCGGGGAUAUGCUUCCGACUCAUCAGUCCUUCUUCCAACCCAGAAGCUAUUCACCACGGCCAGGCUUUGCACACACCUAUUACAACGCAGGACCCCCGACGGUCCCGGGCACGUCGGGGUACCGUAACCCUACCUACAUCAGUUUUAACCAGUCGACACGCUCAACGCUGCAGCUACUCAGGCAACAGAUUCCGCAGACCGUUGCCACAGCCUCGCCUCUUCAACAUCAACAUCAGCAUCCGCAGCAGCAGCAGCAGCAGCAAUGGCCAAACAUCCAGCAAAAUGGGCAGUUGCAGCAGCUAUCGACGACACUACAUGGAAAUGUGCAGUUGAAGCAAGGCCAUUCUGUGGACAUCAGAACAAGCAACACAGGUACCAUGGCAAUUGCGUGCUUUUUUUGUUUGUUUGUUUGUUUGUUUUUAAAACUUGAAUACCAUACAAAUCUAAGGCAUUUAGAAACGGCUAUUUUGAUGAUGAGCUCUGUACUCUCCAGCAUCCUCAAACUAUAACUGUUGUUCUUCUUCUUGUGUGUGGCCUACGUGACCAUUAAACAAUGAGCUCCGCUGUUCUCAGCCGAGGUGGUUAAUUGACGGAGAGAAUUCCAGCCUCAUCGAGGUUGUAGAUGGGGGCUCUUCUCCUCCAGGUGAUCUGCAGUCUGUAUUUCUUCAUCGCCAAGGCUGCAAGACCCCAAGGGAGCCAUGUGGGCAUUAAAGAGGCCAGCUCCUGUCCUUAGGCAGUCGAAGCUGCAGCAUUCUUUCGGUGGCAGCUUGCAACUAGCUGGAUCGGUGGGAGACAGGUGCCAGGUGUUAUAAUCUGCCCGUGGGCUCGAUCUGUCUCCACUCACUGAGGAACCAUUGUUGUCUUCCCUCCCUGUUGGGUCGAUAUCACGGUGCUGUAACCGGUGACAUUUUCAUUCCGAUACAAUGAACGACAGUUGUCUGCUCGGUGGAACGAGUAAAGAACGACCUUCAAGUGAAUCUUUGUGUGUCUCCGAUCCUGGUUUUUCAUCCAGGUGACACUGAGCCAUCCUCGAUGUCUCGAGGGAAGAGCAGAACUGGACUGGCACAGAAAGGCAGUUCCGCAAGUGAGAUUAAAGUGGGACAAAGUAGUGAAGGUGAACGGAGCUUCGACCUGGGGUCAGGGAAGUUAAUGUUUCGUAUGUUUGGCCUGUCGCGGUUGACCAAGACUUGAUGACUGACCCUGAGAAGGAUGAAAGACAAAUUUGAAAAGUCAUGAAAGGGCAAAAAGGCUACAUGCAUGUUUUGACGUCUGAGAGAAGCAGGCCUUGCACCUCAACCACUUGAUGGGCCAUGACAUUGAUAACCAGAGUUCUACUUUGUCCAAGGGCACUCGGCACGAUGGAUGCAGGAACAUUGGUCCAUGGCGGAGUGCAACGUUCCGAUUAAACAAUGUUCCAAUGCUUCUUUGAGGAAGAAAAGUUAGGAAAAGCAUGAGGUGGGGUGGGGGUGGGAGGGGAAGCAGUUCCACGGGCAGGAGAAAAGGGGAACAAAGGAGUGGGUUUUAAAGUUGGCCUGGAUUUUGGGAGUUUUGCAAGGAAGGGGUUACUGGAUGAAUGCAUACAUCUCUGAUGGGGAUAUGAAAAGAUGCAGGGAGCAAGACCGGGAAAGAGGUUGGAGAAAAUAAACAGGGAUACCACCAACCUGUCUCGGAUGAAAGGGUAGUGCGAGAUACCAAUGAUGUUGAAAGCUUUGGAUUCCACAGCAUCCACGAGAGCCGGGAGGGGGUACUCCAUCGAGCUCUGGACAAAAUCCUUGCAGAGACUUGUCUGAAAAUGAUGCAUUGUCUCGUUUAUUUAAAGUAUUUUUGGCUUAUGCACAAGGAUAGUUUCCACUUCCCUCCUUGCACAUCCAAGUAUCUGAUGAGCAGAUUUGAUUUCAUGUUGCCAUCCAUUACAGUGCUGAGAAACGACCGUGAUGCCGUACCAGCAAGCCCGACCCCUUUCGUGCAGGAGUGACGCCGGGUUCUCACCACAAGAUGAAGCUUCUACGGUGGGGGUGAAGGCCGCUUAACUCUGCCCUCCCCUACCUUCCGAUCAUGGACUUCAUUCCACGGUUUCCACCUCGUAACCUCAGGUGCUGAGUUUUUUUUUUAUUUUAUUUUUUUUGGUGGUGGAGAGGGACACGCGUUUCCACUUCAGAGACCUUCUUCUCAACGUCAGCAUUCGGUUCCACAGGACGUCGGGGUUCCAAAGCCUUAAUACUUGAGAGAGACGCAUGGCGAUGUAAAGUUUUAUUAAAAAGCCUACUUCAGGGACCGAAUCUUUUUUAUACCUGAUGUCUAUGCACUAGUCUGCUUCUGCUGAUCCUCCGGUUUUGAGAGCAGCACACAGCUAUUGUCUUUUUCAAUUUCGAGUUUACAAGUUCUUUUUAAAAACUUUGCUGUUGGCACUGGGAACCCCCCUUGUUUUCCAUUACUCUUGGCAUGUCACGCUGCGGUCCCGAGUUGGCGGCCCUCCCUUCGGCCUGUGAGUGUCGUCUUGUAAUACCUUGUGUUUUGUUUUCUUUUCAAAAAUAAUGACUGCAGUGGGGAAAACACAAAAUCUCAGGAAGUUUUAUUUGCAAAGGUUGGGUUGUGGCAGAUCGUGUGUUAUUAUUAUUAUUAUUAUUAUUAUUAUAAUUAUUAUUAUUAUCCUCAGCUGUGACUCAUACUUGUGGAACCAUUUUUUGAACCGGACGUCCUUUCUCAGUGGGCUUGUGACGGAGACGUGGUCUGAAGUUUGAGACCGAGCUCAAGUUUGCUCACGCUGUUGCAGGGAUCCGCCUUUGUUGUCGGAGAGUCUUCGGCCUUUGAACGAGCUGUAAAGACGCGAAUAACGAACGAUCUUUCCCCGUCUUGAACACGCGCACACACACACACACACACACACACACACACACACACACACACACACGAAGACGUUCAGCAACACACGUUUCAUUUUGGACCAUUUUCCUCUCGGGUAGCUCAGGUAUCCAUUCGUUGUAACACUCGUGUUACAUUUUCCUGCACACUGGUGGAUAUUUGAUUCCUCUAUGUACAAUUUCCUUGAGGACCGAACACCGUUCUUUUUUUUUUUUUUAAUCCGGUGGACCCGAGAGUUGUGACGCUCGUUCUGUCGUCCGAGCCUCGCCCUCAGACAGACCCCCGGGUUCUCGAGGGGGUCGGAGGGGAUUUUAUUGUCAAUUGUUUUUAAAAAAAAAUUAUUAUCUGUUUUUCGCUGCAAACGGAUGAUCGAGUGGAGGGAAUUCACGACGCUAUUUAUUGGUACAGAUUUUAAUUUUGCUAAUUGCACAGUCAGUGUCCAGAACUUACCUCAGUUUUGAAUAUAUCGUGUUGUUUUGAGAAUGGAAACAUGCCGGAGCUGGUUAUCCGACUCUGGGAGUCAUGUUUUCACGUUAUUCUUUUUAUUAUUUUUUAAAAUUUUGAUGUACUAUUUCAAUACGAGGCGUUAAGGAAUAAAUGCUUUAAUGUCAAUCUCACUACGAUCUGU